AUGGCCUUGAGGGUCUCUUCUAGCUCAGACCAUCCUAUGGUUGGCUGUGUCUCAAGAUACAGGCCACAUUUGUUGGCUUUCUGUUCUAUGAUGGCUGUUUUGUGUGAAUUUCUGUUUCAGGUGUGCAAAAAUGGCUUCACUGAGUCUGAUGCAAAACAGUUUUUAAGUUUUGUGAAUUUAGGCAGGAGUUCAGCAGACUUCAGCUAUUCUGCACUGUAUGCUGAGCUGAAAAGAGGACAGAUUAGAGUAGCUCACAUAGUCUUUUGUUCAUCCGAUGUCUUCCUUGUUGCCAGACAUUCCCUUUUUCUUGAGAGGUCUUUAUCUCAUAUUUUGCCUGUUUGCUGUUGUUGGUUGGCAAUGUCUUGUGGAACACACUCAGCACUCACACAGCUGCAUUGGUCCACAUAGGUGUAUGAGUGAUCAAGAUGAGUUCUGUACAGUUGGAUAAUUUGAAUCUCUGGCCAGGCUGCAAAAUGAAGAAAAAUUGCUGUCACAGUAAGUUGCAAACAGGUAUGAAUUUUACUAAUAUUGUUAUGAGAUGUAAGCCUCUAUACUAGCUUUGACUUUUCUGUUCAGUGAAGAGUCAAAAAGCACAAGAAAACUUGCUUUUUUAUUUCAUUGAGAAGGUUUGUUACCUGUACAAUGCCAUGCAUUAAAAAGCAUGUUUAACUAGCUGCGAAAUCAUAACAAAAAGAUUAUUGUACUUUUCUUUCUUAGUUUACAAAAAAAA
rnacentral:lncRNA from 1 species